CAGUCGCCGCGGUAAAACGGAGGGGGCUAGCGUUGUUCGGAAUUACUGGGCGUAAAGCGCACGUAGGCGGCUUGGUAAGUUAGAGGUGAAAGCCUGGAGCUCAACCCCAGAAUUGCCUUUAAGACUGCCGAGCUAGCAGGUGAGAGAGGUAAGUGGAAUUCCGAGUGUAGAGGUGAAAUUCGUAGAUAUUCGGAAGAACACCAGUGGCGAAGGCGGCUUACUGGCUCAUACUGGACGCUGAGGUGCGAAAGCGUGGGGAGCAAACAGGAUUAGAUACCCGCGUAGUCCCUGUCUCUUAUAC
rnacentral:rRNA from 1 species